GUGUGUUACGAUAGGCAAUAGCUAACUUUGAAAGAAACGGUGGUCUCUGCUGAUUUACUUUCCAUUACAAAAGAUGAUCAUAUUCCAUCAUAUUACAAUCCUCAGACAAAUACUUAUUAACUUCCAGAGGAAUGACUUAUGCUUGUUGAAGUAAGAAAGCCAACAAAGUUAUUAUCACUCUCUUUUUUCAUUUUUGAUUGUGGGUUAGAUGUGUGAUUUGUUAUUUCCAUAACUUUGUCCUUGAUUAGAGAAAUGUUUUUUUUCUCAGAUUCAGGUUCAUUAUCAAACCACCUCAGCUUUAUCUGGGGUCCAAAAUUGCGGAGGAUGUAUGCUGUUUCAUAAACUCUCAACAGAUUAGGUUAAUUUUGAAAUCAUUUUGGAAUUGGAUUUAGAUGCUCUUUGUCGCAUUUGGUGUUUGAGACCAAGAGUAACUGUUUCUGUUGCAUUGGAUGACUUUCUUACAAAACUUAAGUUUUUUAAGCUUUGGCAAUAAACUGCUUCCUAUAUGAGCUACAUUCAUUUAGACCAUCUUUGGCGACUAGUUGGAGAAUGUGGGCAUAGCAGGGUAUGUGUUUUAGAAGACGGUCAAAGGUAGGAAUAGGUUUGUCCAAAUGUUCUCUGUACUCCUUUUUCUUAUCCUUUCACCGUUAUUGGCAUAUACAUUUGUAGUUGUUCACUAUAACUAUACUAAAUUAUUCAAAUAGAAUUUCUACCACUACUUUUCUCCCUUCUUUUUCUAAUAUGACAAAGAAUU
rnacentral:lncRNA from 1 species